AGUGAACGCUGGCGGUAGGCCUAACACAUGCGAGUCGAACGGCAGCACAGUAAGAGCUUGCUCUUACGGGUGGCGAGUGGCGGACGGGUGAGGAAUACAUCGGAAUCUACUUUUUCGUGGGGGAUAACGUAGGGAAACUUACGCUAAUACCGCAUACGACCUACGGGUGAAAGCAGGGGAUCUUCGGACCUUGCGCGAUUGAAUGAGCCGAUGUCGGAUUAGCUAGUUGGCGGGGUAAAGGCCCACCAAGGCGACGAUCCGUAGCUGGUCUGAGAGGAUGAUCAGCCACACUGGAACUGAGACACGGUCCAGACUCCUACGGGAGGCAGCAGUGGGGAAUAUUGGACAAUGGGCGCAACCCUGAUCCAGCCAUACCGCGUGGGUGAAGAAGGCCUUCGGGUUGUAAAGCCCUUUUGUUGGGAAAGAAAAGCAGCAGGUUAAUACCCCGCUGUUCUGACGGUACCCAAAGAAUAAGCACCGGCUAACUUCGUG
rnacentral:rRNA from 1 species